CCUACGGGUGGCAGCAGUCGAGAAUCAUUCACAAUGGGGGAAACCCUGAUGGUGCGACGCCGCGUGGGGGAAUGAAGGUCUUCGGAUUGUAAACCCCUGUCAUGUGGGAGCAAAUUAAAAAGAUCGUACCACAAGAGGAAGAGACGGCUAACUCUGUGCCAGCAGCCGCGGUAAUACAGAGGUCUCAAGCGUUGUUCGGAAUCACUGGGCGUAAAGCGUGCGUAGGCUGUUUCGUAAGUCGUGUGUGAAAGGCGCGGGCUCAACCCGCGGACGGCACAUGAUACUGGGAGACUAGAGUAAGGGAGGGGGAACCGGAAUUCUCGGUGUAGCAGUGAAAUGCGUAGAUAUCGGGAGGAACACUCGUGGCGAAGGCGGGUUCCUGGACAUUAACUGACGCUGAGGCACGAAGGCCAGGGGAGCGAAAGGGAUUAGAUACCCGAGUAGUC
rnacentral:rRNA from 1 species